UACGUAGGGUGCAAGCGUUAAUCGGAAUUACUGGGCGUAAAGCGUGCGCAGGCGGUUUUGUAAGUCUGUCGUGAAAUCCCCGGGCUCAACCUGGGAAUGGCGAUGGAGACUGCAAGGCUAGAGUUUGGCAGGAGGGGGGUAGAAUUCCACGUGUAGCAGUGAAAUGCGUAGAUAUGUGGAGGAACACCGAUGGCGAAGGCAGCCCCCUGGGUCAAAACUGACGCUCAUGCACGAAAGCGUGGGGAGCAAACAGG
rnacentral:rRNA from 1 species